GCGGUGGUAGUUCAGCUGGUUAGAAUAUCUGCCUGUCACGCAGAGGGUCGCGAGUUCGAAUCUCGUCCACCGCGCCA
rnacentral:tRNA from 1 species